rnacentral:rRNA from 1 species
AAGGUUAAGCCUCACGGUUCAUUAGUACCGGUUAGCUCAACGCAUCGCUGCGCUUACACACCCGGCCUAUCAACGUCGUCGUCUUCAACGUUCCUUCAGGACUCUCAAGGAGUCAGGGAGAACUCAUCUCGGGGCAAGUUUCGUGCUUAGAUGCUUUCAGCACUUAUCUCUUCCGCAUUUAGCUACCGGGCAGUGCCAUUGGCAUGACAACCCGAACACCAGUGAUGCGUCCACUCCGGUCCUCUCGUACUAGGAGCAGCCCCCCUCAGUUCUCCAGCGCCCACGGCAGAUAGGGACCGAACUGUCUCACGACGUUCUAAACCCAGCUCGCGUACCACUUUAAAUGGCGAACAGCCAUACCCUUGGGACCUACUUCAGCCCCAGGAUGUGAUGAGCCGACAUCGAGGUGCCAAACACCGCCGUCGAUAUGAACUCUUGGGCGGUAUCAGCCUGUUAUCCCCGGAGUACCUUUUAUCCGUUGAGCGAUGGCCCUUCCAUUCAGAACCACCGGAUCACUAUGACCUGCUUUCGCACCUGCUCGCGCCGUCACGCUCGCAGUCAAGCUGGCUUAUGCCAUUGCACUAACCUCCUGAUGUCCGACCAGGAUUAGCCAACCUUCGUGCUCCUCCGUUACUCUUUAGGAGGAGACCGCCCCAGUCAAACUACCCACCAGACACUGUCCGCAACCCGGAUUACGGGUCCACGUUAGAACAUCAAACAUUAAAGGGUGGUAUUUCAAGGCCGGCUCCAUGCAGACUGGCGUCCACACUUCUAAGCCUCCCACCUAUCCUACACAUCAAGGCUCAAUGUUCAGUGUCAAGCUAUAGUAAAGGUUCACGGGGUCUUUCCGUCUUGCCGCGGGUACACUGCAUCUUCACAGCGAGUUCAAUUUCACUGAGUCUCGGGUGGAGACAGCCUGGCCAUCAUUACGCCAUUCGUGCAGGUCGGAACUUACCCGACAAGGAAUUUCGCUACCUUAGGACCGUUAUAGUUACGGCCGCCGUUUACCGGGGCUUCGAUCAAGAGCUUCGCUUGCGCUGACCCCAUCAAUUAACCUUCCGGCACCGGGCAGGCGUCACACCGUAUACGUCCACUUUCGUGUUUGCACAGUGCUGUGUUUUUAAUAAACAGUUGCAGCCAGCUGGUAUCUUCGACUGAUUUCAGCUCCAUCCGCGAGGGACUUCACCUACAUAUCAGCGUGCCUUCUCCCGAAGUUACGGCACCAUUUUGCCUAGUUCCUUCACCCGAGUUCUCUCAAGCGCCUUGGUAUUCUCUACCUGACCACCUGUGUCGGUUUGGGGUACGAUUUGAUGUUACCUGAUGCUUAGAGGCUUUUCCUGGAAGCAGGGCAUUUGUUGCUUCAGCACCGUAGUGCCUCGUCAUCACGCCUCAGCCUUGAUUUUCCGGAUUUGCCUGGAAAAUCAGCCUACACGCUUAAACCGGGACAACCGUCGCCCGGCCAACAUAGCCUUCUCCGUCCCCCCUUCGCAGUAACACCAAGUACAGGAAUAUUAACCUGUUUCCCAUCGACUACGCCUUUCGGCCUCGCCUUAGGGGUCGACUCACCCUGCCCCGAUUAACGUUGGACAGGAACCCUUGGUCUUCCGGCGAGCGGGCUUUUCACCCGCUUUAUCGUUACUUAUGUCAGCAUUCGCACUUCUGAUACCUCCAGCAUGCCUCACAGCACACCUUCACAGGCCUACAGAACGCUCCCCUACCCAACAACGCAUAAGCGUCGCUGCCGCAGCUUCGGUGCAUGGUUUAGCCCCGUUACAUCUUCCGCGCAGGCCGACUCGACCAGUGAGCUAUUACGCUUUCUUUAAAUGAUGGCUGCUUCUAAGCCAACAUCCUGGCUGUCUGGGCCUUCCCACAUCGUUUCCCACUUAACCAUGACUUUGGGACCUUAGCUGGCGGUCUGGGUUGUUUCCCUCUUCACGACGGACGUUAGCACCCGCCGUGUGUCUCCCGUGAUAACAUUCUCCGGUAUUCGCAGUUUGCAUCGGGUUGGUAAGUCGGGAUGACCCCCUUGCCGAAACAGUGCUCUACCCCCGGAGAUGAAUUCACGAGGCGCUACCUAAAUAGCUUUCGGGGAGAACCAGCUAUCUCCCGGUUUGAUUGGCCUUUCACCCCCAGCCACAAGUCAUCCGCUAAUUUUUCAACAUUAGUCGGUUCGGUCCUCCAGUUAGUGUUACCCAACCUUCAACCUGCCCAUGGCUAGAUCACCGGGUUUCGGGUCUAUACCCUGCAACUUAACGCCCAGUUAAGACUCGGUUUCCCUUCGGCUCCCCUAUUCGGUUAACCUUGCUACAGAAUAUAAGUCGCUGACCCAUUAUACAAAAGGUACGCAGUCACCCCAUAAAGAGGCUCCCACUGCUUGUACGUACACGGUUUCAGGUUCUUUUCCACUCCCCUCACCGGGGUUCUUUUCGCCUUUCCCUCACGGUACUGGUUCACUAUCGGUCAGUCAGGAGUAUUUAGCCUUGGAGGAUGGUCCCCCCAUAUUCAGACAGGAUACCACGUGUCCCGCCCUACUCAUCGAGCUCACAGCAUGUGCAUUUUUGUGUACGGGGCUGUCACCCUGUAUCGCGCGCCUUUCCAGACGCUUCCACUAACACACACACUGAUUCAGGCUCUGGGCUGCUCCCCGUUCGCUCGCCGCUACUGGGGGAAUCUCGGUUGAUUUCUUUUCCUCGGGGUACUUAGAUGUUUCAGUUCCCCCGGUUCGCCUCAUUAACCUAUGGAUUCAGUUAAUGAUAGUGUGUCGAAACACACUGGGUUUCCCCAUUCGGAAAUCGCCGGUUAUAACGGUUCAUAUCACCUUACCGACGCUUAUCGCAGAUUAGCACGUCCUUCAUCGCCUCUGACUGCCAGGGCAUCCACCGUGUACGCUUAGUCGCUUAA